GAGAAAGUUGCUUAUGAAAGGUUUAAGGAAGCAAUAACAUUUCCAAAUAAGGAAGGGGCAUAAGCUAUGAGCUAAGACUUGCCUGGGCCUGUCCAGACAUGCCUAGUGUGUGACGCAUGUGCUCAUGGAUUAUUGUCCAAAGCAAGUCAUGUGACCAAGCCUAACAUCAACUGGGUGAAGAGCUAUAUGUUCCUUUCUCAAGAGGCACUACAAGUGACAUGCCAACGGGCAGGUAAGAUCCUCUCAAAUGAAGGGACUGUGAAUAUUUGACUAAUAAUACAAAUAUUUCUGGCUAUUUUACAGUGAUAUUUACAAAUAUCACUGGCUAACUUUUCCCAGCUUGAUAUCCUGAAAGAGGCACAGUUUCAACAGUAAAUGGUAAAUUUACCUUGAUUGCACUGAAGGCUAUUUCUUUAAAACUAUUUUCUUUCCUUUUGACUAUUCCGUGUAUCCUUUCAGAAGUAAACAUUGUUUUUACCCCUUUAAAAAGUCUCUACUUAUAACAUGUACUUAAUUUGGAAUUUAUCUAACAUUGCCAGUUUGAUAUAGAUAGAGAAAUUUAAUGAGAAAAUUCAGUUCUAUAUUUAGAAUAUGGAUUCUUCAAGAUGUUUCUGACAUGCAUUUGUUUUCAUUGAAACAUUAAAAAAAUUAUUUAGCUAACAUCUGAGGAGCACAUUGACUUUUGUACAGUUCAACUUUUUUUAAAAUGAAAGAACUAGUGUUUCUUGUAGAAGGGAGGAAUGGAGAUUAGCACCAAAAGAAAAUUUGACUUAUUCUUUGUCUCAUUUGGUCUUGAAGGUUAGAGUCUGAAUAUGUCCAGGAAGUGUAUCUUAUGAAUAAGAAACUAAUACAUCACAUUUUCACAGAAAUUAUUUUUAAAUAAUCAGAGUUAGUAAAUUCAGUUUUUGUCUGUUCUUUUUUUUUUUUUUUUUAACCCUAAGGCAAGCUCACAGCCUAUACUUAAAGUUGUAAAUAUAAGCCUUAAAGUGUAAAUUUCUAGGCAGAGCAUGGCAAGGUAGAUGAAUGGAUUCCAUUAAUGUCUGUGGAACCAAUGGAGUUAAAUCCUUUUUUCGUUUGUCUCAAAAAUGAAGCCGUAAGCAAGCUUUGCAAAUGGCAAGAGUAAUAACAGUUAAGUCAUGAACCUAAGGCUCUCAGUGUUAAUGCUCUAAUUCAUUAAACCAACUCUUCUCCUGAUAGAAGUCAUUUUCUAAAUGGUUUCUAAGCCAAAAUGCCUGGCAUAAUUAAAAUUUAAAUUUUGGUUAUUUUCUUCACUCUCCCCCAUUUUUUUAAUUCUUAAAAAAUACUUUGUAUCAAAUACAACUCUUCAAAAUGUAUGACAAUUUUCUUAUUUGAUAAUUUUAAUUUCAUGAUUUACAAAAUUAAGCUCACUAAAUAUGAAGAAAAUUCACAACUGAAUGUAUUCUAAAUCCUAGGAAAACAUUCACUAAAUUGAGUCAUUUAAUAGUUCUAGAACAGGGAUCGGCAAACUGUGGCCUGCAGCCAAUUUUUUAAAAUAACAUUUGUUUACAUAUUACCUAUAGCUGCUAUUUUUGUGCUACCAUGGCAAAGUUGAAGGAAAGGAAAAGAAAGGAAAGCAAAGGCUUCCUUCUCCAUAGUACUCAGAUGCCUGCCAAGGUGAUGGAGCUAUGUGACAUAGAAAGAAUUUAGUAGUUGUUUUUUUUUUUUUUUCUCCUCAGAUUCCUACUAUCCUAUAAAAUUGGAACUUUAGUCUUUUUAAUGGAAAGAUGAUUUCAUUCUUCCAUUCAUUUUGAUAGGCUUGUCCCAAUAACAGGAAUAUGAUUUAAGUCAGCUAUAACUGUGUCCACAGUUUUCUUUGUUAAUAUCACAAAUCUCUUGUUUUAGAACAUAGGAUGAGACAAGACAAGAUCUUUUAUAUGGCUGGUUUGGAAAGUGUCUGCUAUGGAGACCCAAAUUUUCCCACAUUUAAGUCCAGAGGUGAAUUUGGUGGGGCAGGGGUGGAGUGGGGGGUGGAUAGUAUCAGACCUAACUUUGACCUUCAGUUCAAACCAAGUUCUUCAAUAGACUUCUACUAGUAAUAUACACAGAAACUGAUAUUUGGAUUCCUAUUUAUUUUUUUUUUCUAAAUUACCCAAUUGACUGAGAAUUUGGAGAUAGGAGAACAAAACUAAUACCAUGCCCUAACUCCAGCCCCAACCCUCUAACUUUAGCACUCCUGGGGCUGACCAGGAAUUUCCCCUGGCCAGGAAAGAAACAAAUUUACUACCAAACCCAAUAUGUCAAGUGGACAAAAAUUUGUAAAUUGAGAGGAGAAGUACUUCUCUCCCUUUAGCACACACUGUUUAGCCCAUAAAGUAGAACCAUUUUCUUUGUGGAAGCAUAGAGAGAACAUCUGCCUUCUCUCCACAUCUAGCCCAAGGCUUGGUCCCUUCAGACCCUCUUGGCCUUGAGGGCACACUGUGAUUGACAAGUGGGAAGAAAGUCAGAAUUCCCUUUGUGGCUGCAAUAGAAAGAUAUUCUUCUGAAAAAUGAAUUCCAAUAUUUAUAUGUGAAUAUAGAGAAAUUCAGGGCUAGCUUCAUGGAUAUAUGACCUGUGCACUUGUACAGAGUCCCAUGCUUAGAAGAGUAUAAUGUUUGGUUUAAUAUUCUGCUAUCAUUGUCUCGAAAUAGGCCCAAUAAAUUAGGAAUCUAUCCUGGGUAGGGUAUUAGAAGUCACAUUCUCUUGUUAAGUUCAACCAGAAAUAAUGUCAUAUUUUGAUGUUUAUGUUUUCCCAUGUAUACUUCUUAAUUGCUGCAUUUCUCAGUUGGGAAAAAAACAAACUGGUGUAAUAUUGCCCACAAAGAAUCUUCAUUUAAAGUUGGUCAAACUAUCAUUUAUGUUUUCCCCACACAGUAUGGGUUACACCCAGAAAUCUCACAUUUAGUACUUUGCUUAAGCAGAUUAUUAAAUGUCUGUCCAUAAAUAAUUUCUCAUAGACUUGCACAACCACAACACAUCUUUAGAAGUAAAACCCUAAUUUAUGUGUGAACAAUGAUUUGAUCACAAAUCCAAGUGUAACAAUAUUUGGACUAUGAAUAUUGGUGGCACAUAAUAGUUACUAAAUACAUCAAUUUAUUUACAUUAAAUUAGUUUCACAAAAGACACAAUCUAAAGUUCUAUUUUCAUGUAGGAGGGAGUUUGUAUAAAAAUGUAUUAUUUGGCUGCUAUUAAGAAUAACUAAUAUUAUUCUGUAAUUAUAAUUUUAACAUACUCCUUUGUUAAUAAAACAGCUACCUGAAAUGGAUAUUUUAACUGCCGUAUCUGCUUAUUCUGGCCUUAAAUACUAUUUUGGAUUAACUAAUUCAUAAAUUUUUAAAUCCCUAAUCAAGUUGCUAAUCACAAAAUGCAUUUAUUUUCAGUAAAUUCACAAAUUAAGCAGAAAAAAGUAUAAACCUAAUAAAUUGAACUUUUAAAUAGUAGUGAUUGUUUUCUAUCUUCCAUUUUUGUUUCAUUUGGUUUACAAUGACUGAAAUUAUUUGCUAUUUAAAUACCUGUGUUAGUUAAAGUUAAGAUGUUGUAGUAAGAAUACUCCAAAAUAUAGUGGCUUAAAUAAAACAUAAAUACAGUUCUCUCUCAUGAGACAGAGCUGAGUGGUGCAAAACAGAACAGCACUGCUCUAUAAGGCCAUUCGAAGACCUGUAUUUCUUUUAUUUUCUUACUAUGCCAUUUCAUAGAGUUGUCCUUGUCUCAAUGGUUGAAGCUAGCCACCGCUAUAUCCAGUCUGCUAGUGGGAAGAAGAAAAGAGGAAGCUUAAGGCAAAAGUCUUCAUUUUAUUUAUUUAUUUAUUUAUUUGCUUAUUUAUUUAUUUAUUGAGACAGAGUCUUGCUCUGUCACUCAGGCUGGAAUGCAGUGGCAUAAUCAUAGUUAACUGCAUCUCCAAAGUCCUGGGUGCAAGCAAUUUUUCUGUCUCAGCCACCUGAGUAGCUGGGACUACAAGUGCACACUUCUAUGCCUGGCUAAGAGGCUUUAUUUUUAAACAGAUGACCUACAAAUCACAUGCCUGACUUUUACUCAAAUAUCAUUUUUCCAAAGUUAGUCAUGAGGCCAAGGCUGUGAGUAAAGUUGGCAGCCAUGGUCCAUGCACCUAACUAAAAGUCAGCAACCAAGAGCGAGAGAGAGAGAGAAGGAAGAAAAACCAUACAGGGGUUACAAUUAGUGCUGUAAUAUCUCAAGUGUUUAAGCUGUUGUAACUGACACAUAAUUCUAAUAAGGUCCAAAAGAUAUGAAGGAUUUAAUGUGUACAGCCUCUUAAUCUUGGCUGAAUGGAACUAAGUUAAACUAAAAGGUUGGAAUUACUAUAUUCCUUAUUUCACUUGUAAAUAGAAACAUAAAGUACUAUUAAUAAAUACUAGAAAUAUUUCAAAUAUGGAAUAUUAUAAUCAGGAAUUUUAUGAGAAUUUAGAUACCUUUAUUUGGAGAAGCAAUACUUCUCAAAGUUCCAUCUCUUGGCCUUGCAUUGGUCUUUUUGAAGUUGGGUUGUUUGCAACAUAAGAAUAUAAUUACAGUGAAUAUAUUUAUUUAAUAUAAUUUAUGUUCCUUAUUCUUAAGUUUACUCUUUUCUAAAAAUUUGAUGUUGGUACAUUUUCAUUAAUAAACUGACAAUGAUACAAUAGGUUUUGGAUAUUGUUGUGAUUUCCAUAUCCUAAAAUAUAAGUUGGCCGUCCAUGGUGGUCCACCUGUUAAAAUAAAUAAAUUAAUUCAUAAAUAGUACUGGUGCGUAAGAUCCAAAAACAUUGUGGCUGAUAGUGUGAAGAGUAAAUGGGAGUUUUCUCCGUUAUGAGGUUACAUUGCACAAUGCAACUCUGAACAAAAGGUAUCCCGAAAUAAAAUCCUAUAUCUAAGGUAAUGUAUGAUGAAGAAACAACACAGAAGCCUUAAAGGAUUUGCCCAAGUUUGCACGAUUUGGCAAGGGCAUUGCUGGCCCUAGAACACUGGCUUCAGCUUAUUUCUUUUUUUUUCUAUUGCAUAAUAAAAGUAAUGUUUUCCAUAGUGUAAAUGGUGGAACUUAGUUCUUCUGGAUAUUAUUAUUUAAAAAAUAAAUUGUAAAACAUGCCAAAUAAGUUCAUGAAAAGACUACAGUAAAAAUUAAAAAGGAAAACUAGUGUCUUUAUUGCAGACUUUUCUAAACUAAGGUGCUUUGUGAGUUACAAGCGAGGGAUAGAGGACAGAGCAUUUUACACAGCUUCCUGUGUUUGAAUGAGCGUCCCUUUAUUUCUACUUACUGAGAAUAUUUUUGGAGAAACAUUUCUGUCUUGGAAAUGAGUUUAAGCAGACUGUCAACAAACUUUCAAAAGCUCUCUUAUAUCAGUAUAUUUCAAACUCACACACACCUUAAGUUAUGCCAUAUGACUUGCACAUAACAUGCAGCAUACUGAGAUACCAUUAACUGAACUUUCCUGUAUUCAAGUGCAGGGUUCAAGAGGUGCAAACCAAUGUUUACUUUUCUGUUCUUAUAAAAUUCUGGUGCUUCAGAAGACCAAGAAAAUACAUGAAUUCAGGAACUUUCACCUUUAAGUAUUCAAAUGGCAUUUGGUUUAUAAUGGGUACUAAAGAAAUAUGUAACACAGAUCACUUACGAUAGCAUCCCGCUGCAGUCUUUAAAAUUAGUUCUCAAGUGAAUGAAAACAUUAGAGGCACAUCUUUUGUCAUUGUUCUAUGUGAAACCGCAACAGCAACCUACACCCUACACACACACACACACACACACACACACACACACACAAAAUUAAGACAAUUGGAGCUAAAAAAUACAGUAUCAUAACCCAUUAUCCCUUUUUGUACUUGUGCACAUUUUUUAUCUACUUGCCCUGAUUUAGUAUUUAUUUUUUUGCUGGGUUCCCAUUUUCAAUUUUCUUCAUCCACCAUUUCUUCAUUUCUUUUGUUUUUUAUAUGUGCUACUAUUCUCACUCAUUCUUUUAUCCAUAAACAUAACUCAUUCUCACCGAGUCACAAAUGGCUCCAAGGCAUAGAAAUAUCUUUAAAAGACCAUUUCCAAAGUCCAGAGAUUUUUUUUUUUAUGUUGGUCAAUAAAUGCUACAUGUUUGGGCUUGAUUCACAUUUUACAGGAAGAGUAAUGGAGAUGUGAUUGGAGUCAGCUAACAGGUAUUUUUUUGGAAAGACAUUUGGUGGAAGUGUCACAUUUUAUCUUAGUUGACUUGUUUGAUGUUCAUUAAGUUUCUCUAUUGAGGUUUAUCUAAUGUUUUUCUCUUGAUCAGACUGGGGUUAUGUGAUCUUUUGAAGAAGGCCACAGAGCUAAAGUGCCAUUCUCAUCAAAUUAUAUAAAAAGUACAUAUUUUCAACAUGACAUUACUGUUGAUGUUGACCUUAGGUAGUGCUUGUCAGAUUUCACCACUUUAGAGUCAUUCCUUUUUUCCUCUUGCCAUACUGUGUUCUGUGAAAGAAAGUCACCAUUUAAAAAUCCAAACUAAAAGAAGUGAGAGUCAUUUUCCACCUCCUUGAGGGCAAAUAUCUACAUAAAUUAUUUGAAACUGUUCUGCAAGGGAGUAUUGUCUCUUCUUUCCCAUUUAUUAAUUUAUUCACUUAUUUAUAUCUGUAUGGACUCCCUGAUAUUUAUUUUAUUAUUUGGGUUAUAAUCCAAUAGUACUUUAUUGUAUUGCUCAAAUUGCCUCCGUUUUGACAACUGGGAACUCUUUCAAUGGCUCCUGUGUCUCUUUGACAUAUCCCCAUCAUUGUGGUGUUGUUUAUGUUUUAUUUUAUUUGUUUUAUUGUUUAUGUUUGUUUUAUUUAUUCUUGCUAAGUCCUAGAACGUUCCAUUUCUACAAGGAGCCUUGGUUCAUUUUAUUGGAGAAUUAUAUUAGAAACAAAAAUCUGGGUGAUAGGUAUCUGUGAAUUCUUUAGUAAAUCCACCCCUUCUCCAAUUGAAAGUAAUAUUGUCCUUGUGAUAGUUUGCUGAGAAUGAUGGUUUCCAGCUUCAUCCAUGUCUCUACAGAGGACAUGAACUCAUCAUUUUUUAUGGCUGCAUACUAUUCCAUGGUGUAUAUGUGCCACAUUUUCUUAAUUCAGUCUAUCAAUACACAUUGUGCACAUGUACCCUAGAACUUAAAGUAUAAUGAAAAUAUAUAUAAAAAAUUUUAAAAAAUGAUUAAAAAAAGAAAGUAAUAUUCUAUAUAAGCUCUUGUAAUGCUAGAUAGUAUGCAUUGAGUAGUUGCUGAGUGCUGGGCACAGUUUUAAGCACUUUAUUUCUACCUCCUCAUUUAAUGUCUAAAAUAAGUCUUUGAUAUCAGUACUGUUGUUUUCCCUACUCUGUCCAGAACGGGACUAAUUGCUCAAGGUCACACAGAAUAGUAAGUGAUGUAAUACAGAUUCACACCCAUGCAGUCUGACUUCUCUAGUGUCACUCAUUCAGAAACUAAGUAUUUUCUCCAUCGUUUUAAAAUGACAAUCCUUUCUUUGUUUUGUUUUGUUUUGAGAGGAAGUUUCGCUCCGUUGCCCAGGCUAGAGUGCAGUGACGCGAUCUCGGCUCACUGCAAACUCCACGUCCGGGGUUCAAGCGAUUCUUGUGCCUCAGCCUCUAGAGUUGCUGGGACUACAGGCAUGCACCACGUGCUCUGCUAAUUCUUGUGUUUUUUAGUAGAGGCAGGGUUUCAUCAUGUUGGCCAGGCUGGUCUUGAACUCCAGACUUCAAGCGAUCCACUUGCCUCGGGCUCCCAAAGUGUUGAGAUUACAGGCGUGAGCCACUGUGCCCAGCCAAAAUUUAAUCCUUUCUUUCUUUCAUUGUACUUUUUUGAAUGUACAGCUAUUUGCUUCUUAUAUUUAAAAAAAACUCAUUUCUGACAUUAUGGAAGCUUUCCUAAAAACCUAAAAACUUUAUGAAAAUUAGGCACUGUUGUAUUUGCAAUACUUUAUCAUACUAUAUUAAAAUUUUACAUAUUUAAAUCUCUCUCACCACUAGCUAAUAAACUUCUUAAGAUCUGGAAUUUCAUCUCUUAUAUCCCUGAUCUUUUCAUUAUUUGUGCUUGCAAUACAUUUGAAUAAAUAAAUGUCUACUUUUUGUUAUGAGGCUGCAACUAAUACAUCUGAUUCAUAUUAAUGUUUCAUUUUUAAUCAUUUAUACACUCGACCACAUUGUAGAUGUUUAAUAAUUAAUGAAUGAAUGAGUAUGGAUCUGUGAAAUAUCACCCCAUGUGGAUGAAAUUUGAAUGAUAUUUUUUAAAACAGAAAAUAAAUAUAGGAGGACUAGGUCUAAAUUUCCUCAAGAUAUUUAUGCUAGGAAUUUGUUUCUCUAAAUAGUAUGUAGUCCUUCAAUCAUUUCAAAUUGUUUUAAAGAUUCAUGGACUUUUAUUUUGCUUUGUUUUGUCUUAGUCUACAAUUAGUAAUUUUUAAUUUGCCUAAUAAAUACAAAACCCAAGGUAAAUAAGAUAAUAGUUUUUUUUUUUUUUUUUUUUUUUAAAGAAGAUUGAGUAAAAGGGUAAAUUUAAAAGAAUUGUGGUGGACCAGGCAUGAUGGCUCAUACCUGUAAUCCUAGCACUUUGUAGGGUGAAAGUCAGAGGGUCACUUGAGAUCAGGAGUUCAAAACCAGACUGGCAACAUAGCAAGACCCUGUCUCAACAAAAAAAAAAAAAAAUUUUUUAAAUUAGCCAGAUGUGGUGGCACACAUCUGUAAUUCUAGCUAAUGGGGAGGCUGAGGUGGGAGGAUCCCUUGAGCCCAGGAGUAUGAGGCUGCAGUGAGUUAUGAUCAUGCCACUGUAUUCCAGCCUGGGCAACAAAGCAAGAUCCUAUCUCUAAAAUAAAAUAAAGUAAAAGUAAAGAUUAAAAAAAGAAGUUGUGAAUACUGAAACAGAAGAGAAUUAUUUUAGGUACUUCAAUAUUUAUUUCUGAUUUCUUAUCUCUGGCCAAAAGAAAGAGAGGGGGAGUUAAAGUUGAAGUGAAUUUAAUCCUUUAUCAUUAUUCAACAAAUUCAGUGAACAGAAAAAUAUAAUGGAUUUUCUAGGAAUAGCUUCUGUUAUUUUAGAAAUGCUGAAAGUAGAUUAAAAGCUGCAUAGUUAUUGACCUAAAAAUAUCCACUGCUAGAAUUUUUCUUUCAUUAUUCAGAAGCAAAUGCUUUGCUAAAAAUCUAUAAAUAAAAGUACUGAUGUUUUUAAGUAUGUUUGAAGAACUAACUUUUGGAGCAACUGCAUCAAUGCAAGAUAAAGUUAAUCUAUUGGAAAAAAUUUAGAGAACAUGUUUAUUGGAUAUUUAGCUCUGUGUAGAAAGUAAUUUCUUAUUCAUCUCUCUGCUCUCCUUACAUCUAAUAGUGUUUAGCCCAGAAGAGUCCAUAAUAAAUAUUUAUUGUAUGUCUGCAUAAAAUACUGUUUAAAAUUAAUUUUAAGUCAGUUUUCUCAUAGAAAAACUGUGGUUUAGCAAUAUUGUUAACUUAAUUAUAAGUAUUGACAUAAUAGUUAUUGAACAUAAACUUUACUAUUUACUGGAUGAAAAAUAUUUUGUAUAAAUUCACUUAUACAACUGUUAUGGUACCCUCUGACAUUAUUUUGGAAGAUUUAAAAAUUAUAUUAUGCAAGGAAAUUUUUGACAGAAUAUAAGGGACAGAUAAAUUCAAAGUGGUUUUUACUUUCUCAAUUGCAUUCAGAGUUUUAUUUUCCAUUUUAAUAAUAUAUUUUCAUAAACAGGGACAAAUGAAUCACAAAAAGUAAACAAAUUGCAGCCUACUGGUGGCACUGAUGCUUUCCCACAGAUUCGUAGGUUAAGUCUGUAAAGAAAUAAAAUCAAUAAUUUGAAAUGUUUCUAGGUUAUUUGUGCCCCAAACUUAAUAAUAAAAAAAAGUAUACCCAGAUUUUCCUUUACAUUUGCAUUACGGAUACUAUUUUUUUUAAAUGUUGACUUCACAGUAAUUCUUAGCCUAUAGCCCACUAAUUGUGAUAUACAUAAUUAAUAUUUGUUGGAUUAAAUUUCACUGUUCACUAACAUGACUUUGAGUAAGAAGGCUGACCUAGUAAAUUUCCACAAUAAAUGAUGUUAAUAUUACCAGUAAAUUCUAGUUAAAUUCCAUGCAAAAGCUGUUUUUUUUUUUAUUUUAAGCAACCUGAGUUAUCAAAAUAUCUAACCCUCAUGUAUUUUAAGUAUUGUUCUGGAGAUUCAUCAAUUUAAUCAAAGCUAUUGCUUCAGUCCUGAUAAGCAUUCUUGUUGUAAAAGACUCUAAAGUACUGUACAGAUUUAUAAUCAGCAAAAACUAACAAACACAUGCAACAUGUAAAAUUGUUUUCUGACAAUGUGCCCCAAAUAUUUUAUUACUCUAUUUAUUAUAUUUUCCAAUGAGUUGUAGAAUAUAGUUUACAAAUCAUUACAUUGACUAUUAGCACAUUAUGAGCCUUCAACAUAUUCCAUUACACAUGAAGAGAAAACUGAAGUCUUAAGAUGAAUGCAAAAACAUACUUACAACAAUAGCUCUAGAGGAAGAUAUAUGGUUUAUAAUUCUUCAUAUAGUCUACCUGAUGGCAAAAAAAAAAUCUUAAAUCAAUAAAGAUUUUGCUAGUCUUAUACUUUCCUUGUGCCCAGUGUAUAUAAUCUCUAAUACUCUUAAUAUAUAUGUGAACUCACAACUGAUUCUACAUUCAAUAUGUUGUGAUAUUUUGUUUUGGUUUAAUAUGUGAAGAAAAUCUGAACUCACAUAGACAUGUAAUUGAAAAAGGGAGGAGUAUUUUAAUAGCCUUAUGAUUGUUGCAUUUAGUCCAAUUUGAUGUUACACCCAGCUUUACAAAUAGUAGUUUCUUAAAGAUUAGUUGCAAUUUGGAAUGAAAAUUGUAUCAAUGAACUUCUCAUAAUCUGUUUAAUUUCACUGAUAUAUCUUAGAUAUAAAGUGAAUUUUUGGUAAAGUCACUGAUCAUUUGAAAAAUUAUCAGUUUACUGGGUUGUGUAGAUUUCACAAAAGUUGAUACCCUUAACUAGGCUAAAUGUUAAUAAUCACAUGUUUAUAUCACCACUGAGCUCAUCAGAAACCUUUUCUUCUACUGAGAAACUGUUAAGCUCAUAAUGGUGGAUAAAAGUUUUGCAAAAUUCUGUUUCUCUUGAAAUUAAAAUUUCAUUAUUUGCAACACACACUGUUAGUUGUUUUCCUUUAAGUAAACAGUUCUGUUCCUUAACUUCGUAACACUAAAUUCUGAAUGACAAUACUUUGACGGUCAUUCUUUCAAGUGAAGAUGGUGUUUAAUAUCAACAGAUAGCUACAUCAGCUCACGAGUCAACUGCACAAUUAUUUUUCUUGAUACAAUCUUCAUACUUGGAUGGGCAGCAGAAAUGCACUUUAUAUAUAUUUCUCAUUUUCAUCAUAUAGAAUAUAAAAAGACAGGUUUUCAAAUUAAAAGAUUUAAUAAAAUUAAUAAUUUUCUAAGACAUUCUCAGGUGAAACAGGUAUUUUUUUCACAUGUGUGGCGGGAAAAAUUAUUUGGUAUCACUGCCUCAAUUCCUGAUAACACAUCAAUGAUUUUACGUAUCACUGCUUUCGUAUCAUGAAUUCAAAUGCAUACACAGUGAGAAAGGCAAAUACUUUCUUAGCAUUAUUAAGAAGAAAGUUUUUUAUUGGACCAGCUGAGAGGGUUAUGAUGAAAUUUGGAGCCAAAAAUCACAGCUUAAUAACUAUUGUUCUAAAUAUAUCUAAACAAAAACUGAUAGCAUUCUAUGGAAUAGAAUACAAAGUAACUGUAACUGCAAAAUCUUCCAUAUGUGCAACAAGAAAAGAUUUUGUAUGAGAGACUUUUGCUUUCUGGGAGAAUUCUGCUUGUUGAAGAUAUGUUGAAGGUUACAUUCUUAUUUAUGAGUUAAAUACAGGCCAUUUGUUUCUUAUUUUGUCUUGAAGCUUACAGGUUCUUCUUUUACGUUUCUAUUCACCCCCACUGCCUUUUAAAAGCACAUCAGAAUGAUAGAUAUUCAGAGUUCAUAUUGUAGCUUACGCAAAAUAGAAGAAAUUAUAUUUGGAGUAAAAAUAAAGAACCUUUACUUUCAUCUUUAUAUUUAAAGCCUCUCAACUAAGGAGAUACAGUGUGGAAGAUCUUAUUGAAACCACCUUUGCAAAAAUUAUAACUGAGAAAACUACGACAAUGAAAAAGAUCUACCUGAUUCCAUCUUGCUUCUAACCUCUACCCUCUCCUAAUUUAUACGUGGGUUUAGGCAGCACUAUUUUUUGGAGGAACUUAUAGUUUAACUUUGGAACAAAGAUGAUCACAGUCUCAUCCCAAAACAAACUCCCUGCCUGCCUGGAGGCUAGAUUGCCUUUGUGGGACUAACAAAUUAGCUACAGGAUUAGAGAUUAUGAUUUAGGAGUCAUGCAUCUGGAGGCUAUAAGAUGCUGGACCUCCCCAGAUUGCUUCUGGGGAUAACAUUACUUUUGUAAAACCUGAGAUCAGUGCUUGAGAUACUUUACAGACACUGUACUUGAUGGCUUAUUUGGUCUUGUGGCCCCCACCCAGGAACUGACUCAGUGCAAGAGGACAGCUGGGACUCCCAAUGAUUUCAUCUCUCACCGCACCAGUCAGCACUCCCCACUGUCCAACCCCUGCCACCAAAUUAUCCUUGAAAACCUCGAUCCCCAGGUUUUCAGGGAGACUGAUUUGCGUAAUAAUAAAACUCUGGUCUCCUGCACAGCCGGCUCUGUAUGAAUUAAAUUCUUUAUUACAAUUCCCCUGUCUUGAUAAAUCCGCUCUGUCUAGACAGAGGGCAAGGAAAACCCCUUGGGCAGUUACAUUAUCUCUUUUCUUCUUAGAACGUUAAGUCUUUCUCCAUUGUAUUGAAAGGUCAUUAAGAGUCUGUUGAGGCCGGGCGCGGUGGCUCACGCUUGUAAUCCCAGCACUUUGGGAGGCCGAGGCAGGCGGAUCACGAGGUCAGGAGAUCGAGACCACGGUGAAACCCCUUCUCUACUAAAAAUACAAAAAAAUUAGCAGGGCGUGGUGGCGGGCGCCUGUAGUCCCAGCUACUCGGAGAGGCUGAGGCAGGAGAAUGGCGUGAACCUGGGAGGCGGAGCUUGCAGUGAGCCGAGAUCUGGCCACUGCACUCCAGCCUGGGUGACAGAGAAAGACUCCGUCUCAAAAAAAAAAAAAAAAAAAAAAAGAGUCUGUUCAAAUAACUCAUAUGUGAAAUAUAACAAGAAUUCUAUACUAAUAUAAUGUUAUCCAGUAAUAUUUACAGCAAAGUUACUAUUUAUGCAGUGUUUUGCUGGAGCCAAUUUAUAAUGGCACACAAGAGUCAACUGUGCACCUCUCUUCCCAAUGCUACAUUCGAUGAUGUCAUCAAAAUAAAGCUGAGAUUUGCCAAACUCAUUGUCAGUCAGAGUUUGCCUAAGGAGGUAUUUCUAAUAAUAAAACAUAAUUGAGUCCCGAAAAGAUAUGUAAAAUAUUCAUUUUUAAUGAUACUGCUGCUGUUACUGACAAUAGUAAUUAUAUUUAUUUUUUGGCCAAAAUAUUUAAUUAUAAACUUUUGCCAAAUUGUCUUUGUCAAUUAAUAAAGUUUAAAAUUUAUCAGGUAUUUCUUCUACUGUGUUUGGAAAAAUUCCCUGUAUCUCUAUUAAGCUUACUUUGAAUAAUAAAAAAAAACUCUUAUUUUAAUUUGAGGAAAUCUUUCAGUGCUGACUUUGCCCUGUAUCAGACAUAAAUUCUUAAAAUAAAGACUAAGUAUUUUAUGUAAGCAUUUUAGCAAAUGUUUCCAGUACUUUGGAUGGCAUCAUGUAUAUAUGUUAGAUAAUAUUUACUUAAGGAUGCCAAUAUAAAAAAAAUUAGAUCUUUAGCAAAAACCCAACUCAGUAUAGAGUUAUCCUUCUGUUUGGUUGAAAUAAAUUGUUGACUUUUUAGCAAAAAUAAUUUCCAUAUCUUCAAUAAUUUUGCUAAGAAGUAUUAAAACACCUGUGAGAGACUGGUUUAAAGUUAAUAUGAUGAAAAAAUAGAUAAAUCUCAUGAACUCGAGCUACAUGAGAAAAUAGCACCCAGCACAGUCCCAGGGGUCAAUCCGUCAAUGUUAAUUAAGAGAAGUUCUGCCUGGGUCUAAAGAACAGGAAAGAAAAUGAGAAAUGUGGUAAGUAAAACAACAGCAAGAAAAGAAAGAGGGCAUGGUUAGAUGUCAAGAUACCCUUCUGGUUUUCAGCCCAGUUCUGCCACUAACUAGCUGUGUCCUUACUCUUAUGGAAUGUGUUUCUUUGGGCCCUUGUUGGCUUAAAUGUACAGUGAGAGAAAUUGAUUGGUCUGCUUUAAAUUUCUUACAUUUCUAAAACUUACAGUAUGAUUAAGGACAUAGGAUAAUCAAGAAGCUUUUUAUAUAUAUAUAUAUAGAUAAUCCAACAACCACUGCAUGAUAUAUAUAGAGAGUUUGAACCAUGACUUUUGAUCAGAUUAGUUCAGCUGUGAUGAGUGUAUAAAACAGCCUAAACAAAACAAUUUCCUCUCUCGUUUCUGCUCCGAACAUGGCAACUGCAGAAAACCCAUGGUCAGUUUCAUAGUAAAUUAUGAGAUUGUGACACUUCUGCCAAAAGAUAACACAGAUUCCCAAACCUCUAGAAAUUUUUAAGGUAUUGCCACAGGUUUCAGAAAACCAAAACAAUGCAAGAAUAUUUAUUACAAUAUACGAUUUUGGUAAAUGUGUUUUUUCUCUUUCAUAUAUGAUGUUGAAAACAUAUCAUGCGGCUGGGCUCAGUGGCUCCCGCCUGUAAUCCCAGCACUUUGGGAGGCCAAGGAGGGUGGAUCACCUGAAGUCAGGAGUUCGAGACCAGCUUGGCCAACAUGGUGAAACCUCGUCUCUACUAAAAUACAAAAAUUAGCCGGGCAUAGUGACGGGCACCUGUAAUACCAACUACAAGGGAGGCUGAAGCUGGAGAAUUGCUUGAACCCGGGAGGCAGAGGUUGUGGUGAGCCAAGAUUGUGCUACUGCACUCCAGCCUGGGUGACAGAGUGAGACUCCAUCUCAAAAAAAAAAAAAAAAAAAAAAUAUCAUCCAUAGCACUAAAUACAGUAUAGACUAAAACAUAUUCUUGGCCUGGUGAUUAAUAUUUAUAGUGGAUGACUAUAAAUGAACUGGCUCAGAAAGUUUUUAAAUUUUUAGAGUAUAAGACUUAUUGGCUAUAAGAAGAAAAUAGUAAUUUAAAGAUGUAAAAGUUCUUUCAUUAAGACAUAAAAUAAAACUACACAAGUAAUUGAAAAUAAUGGGCUAUAAAACCAAAGGCGACGAUUGACAUCAGUGUUACUGAUAGCUACAUUAUAGUGUGAUGUACAAAUAAAAAUCACAACUUGGAAAUAUAGGACCAAAUUUCCUCAGAAAUCAUAAGUUGAGAAUAAAUAUUCUUUAAAGAGGAACUCCAGGCUCAGAUGUUAGCUGACCUGGAUUUUAAACUUGACUACCUUCUUUCUAAUCAUGUAAUCUUUCAUGUCUAUCUCUAUUAGUAAUAAGGUUAAUCUAAAGUAAAUGAUAAUUUUUCUGCUGUGAUAUAAAUUGUUUUUAUUUUAUUAUAUAUUUUUCUCUCUUAUUUGAACUUUAUAUAAUAAUCAUAUAUCACUUUUAGUAAAUACAUAAUGAUAAAAUUCAAAGGAAAUACAGCAAGAUUUUAAGAAAUUAUUUAUUCUGAAUAAGAGUUUGAAGAAUUAUUGUUCUUUUCUGCAUUUUUUGCAUUUUAAUAAUUAAAAUUCAGUUUAUUAAAGUCAUUAAUCAUGCCAUCAUUAAAAAUAAAAAUAUAUUUAAUGUAUUUUAUACCUUAAGCUCUCUAUAUAUUUUACAUUUAUCUCAACAAAUAUUUAUAACAACUUUAGGCAACUGAAAAUAUUAUUACUUUCCUUGUAUCAGUUAAAAAAUGCAGGUUGAAAAAGAUUGCUAUCUUCUCCAAAGUUGUAAGUGUUACAGAUAGGAUUAGAAUAUAGAUAUGCCUUAUUUUGCUCAUGACAUUUGUAGCCCACAUUUCCCAUUGAGUAAAGGGACCAAUUAGUUCAGCCAAAACUGCAAAUUCAGUUCUCUUCUCUAAGACUAGCCUUAGGGUUGUGAGAACCAUUUUUUUUCAUAAUCCAUUUCCAAUAAACAGAAUAUCCUUUUUCUUUCAUUCAUGCCUAACAUAAAUGUAAAAUCAAAGGUGUUUUGGGGAGAAUAUUGAAAACAAGGAUUUGAAUAUUAACAUUGAAAUAGAUGACAAGAUCAUAGGAACCAUCUAAGUGUGUUUUUCUUUAUAAUGCCUAGAAAAAUCAGCACUGGUGGUUUCUGUGUAGAAGUUCAAUAAUGUUUUAUCUCAUCUGUAAUAUAUAAAUAAUUAUGGUAGAACAAGAAAUAGUUUCAGACCAAACCCUAUUUUCUAAGAUUGCUCUUACACUAUGGGAUCAAUUUAUUUGCAAAAGUUUCUUCUUUUCAUUUUUUUUCCUCAGGAUUAUCCUUUCUACUCUUCUACUUUCUGAGCUACUUUUCUCUCUCUGUAAGUCUUAAAGAAGUUCAAUGAGCUAUAAGUGAACUCAGGUAGACAACUCAACAAAAUCAAGAAGACAAUACAUGAACAAAAUGAUACUUUGAAUAAAUAAAUAUAAACCAUAAAAAAACUUGAAUUAUUCAGUUCAGUCAUAAUACAUGACUUUAAACUUCAAAACAGUUUGUUAUAGUACAGCCAAAAUCAUUAACAUUGGUCAACUAAGAAGUAUAUAUUUUUUCUAGUUCUCUAACAGAUAGCUGUACAUUAUAUUCACAACUUACAAAAUCUGUCCAGCAAGAUAACAGAAUAGAAGACACUUAACAUUGCUUCCCCCACAAAGGUAUAAGUAGUAACUACUCAAAGACAAUAAAACUACCCUGAAGUUACUAGAACUUGAGAGAGAAGCAGAGGAACUGAUGGAGCCUAGAGAAAUGAGAGAAGCUGUGACUGAUAAAAGAAAUGAUGAUUUGAGAAUCUGCCACCCACUACUCCAAGCCACGUAACAGCUCACAGAAAAUUUCUAUACAUUUAGGAUGUCUGAGUUGGAAGGAAUUGGAAGUUGAAAAUAAACAUUCAAUUUCCCUAUCAGUUGAGGAGGCUUCAUGGGAAGCCUACAUGGGUCUCAUCCCAUGGAAAACACUGACAGUUCCAGGAGGGCUGAAUGACCUGAGUGAAUUGAAGAUAAAAUCAGGAGAGCUGAUUUCAGCAACUGUCCUGUGGAUCUUGGUAGCUGCUCUGCAUUCUGCUCAGCAGGAAUGCCACGCUGAGGAGACUGUCAAGUCUCAUAGCACUGCAGAGGUUAUAAGCCCUGGAAAUGCCUGAGUCCUUUUUUGUGUUUAUGUGGCACCUUCCCCUGACCCAGAAGCAGCUGAAAUAUUUAGUAAGUUCUUGUUUUCACAAUAAGUCUUUUCCAAAUAACAAACAAUGGCAGAGCAGUGAUUUCACUCCAGUGCAGCAUUUAAAUUCUGAUAUACACUAAGUCCUCCCUAGUCAGGAGUCAAAAGCUGGACAGCAAUUAAGUUCUGAUAUUAAGUUGUAAUGAUCUAAGACCACAAAAAACACCUGCAAAAACAGAAAGAGGUGACCAUCUCCUCAAAUUCACGGGCAUCAAUAUAAAGAUAAAAGGAUUAAGAAAAAUCAGGAAAAUAUGACACCACCAAAAGAAAUAAACAAAGCUCUAUAAUGGACACAGAAGAAUUGAUCUAUAAAAUGUCUGAAUUCCAAAUUCAGAAUAAUCUACUUUAAAAUUAUCAGGGAAUCACAAUAAAAUAUAAAUAGAAAAUUAACUUAAAUUUGGAAAACAAUCCAUAAAUACAAUGAGAUAUUUGACAAAUAAAGAAACAUUUUUAAAGCCCAAAUAAAUCCUAGAAAUAAAGAAUAUAAUAACUGAACUGAAAAAACUCAGUAGAAAGUUUUUACAACAGACAUAAUCAGAGGAAACAGCUUGAAGACAGACAUAUGAAAUUAAUCAGAGGAGCAAAAAGAGAAAAGAAAAAAUAUGGUGAAGAAGACCUACAGGAAUUUUGGGACACUAUUUAAAGUAAACUAACCUUCACAUAAUAGGAGUUUCCAAAUGAGAAAAGGGAGAAUAGACCUAGAACACAUAUUUAAGGAAAUCAUAGCUAAAAAUCUCCUAAAUCUAGAUAUAGAAAACAACAUCCACUUACAAGAAACAUAGAAGUUACUAAUCAAAUUAAUGGAAAGAAAUUCCCCAACACCUGUCAAAUUAUGAUAAAGAGAAAAUCAAAGACAAAGAAAGAAUACUGAAAAAAAGAAGAGAAAAGAGACAUAUCACGUUAAUCAGGGCCCUAAUACAGCUUUCAGCAGAUUCUCAGCAAAAACCAUGCAGGAAAGGAGAAAAUGAUAUGAGAUAUUCAAAGUAGUGAAGGAGAAUAAAAAAAAAAAAAAAAAAAAACCUGCCAACCAAGAAUAUUGUGCGAAGCAAAAGUAUUCUUCAAACAUAAAGAAAAGAUAGAGUCUUCUGCAGAUAAACCAAAGCUGAGGGAAUUCAUCAACACCAGACCUAGUAAAAUGCUAAAGGAAGUUUUUUAAUCUGAAAGAAAAGGAUGCUAAUAUGUAAAAAGAACACAUCUUAAGGUAUACAACUCAUUGGUCAUAGUAAGUAAACAAAUUCAGGACACUCAAAAACUGUAAUUGGGCCAGGUGUGGUGGCUCAUGCCUGUAAUCCCAACACUUUGGGAGGUUGAGGUGGGCAUAUCACCUGAGGUAAGGAGUUCAAGACUAGACUGGCCAACAUAGUGAAACCCCCUCUCUACUAAAAAUACAAAAAUUUUGUAUGGUGGCAUGCACCUAUAGUCCCAGCUACUUGGAGGCUGAGGCAGGAGAAUCGCUUGAACCCAAGUGGCGGAGGUUACAGUGAGCUGAGGUCAUGCCACUGCACUCUACCCUAGGUGACUGAGUGAGACUCUGCCCCCCUCCCCCCCAAAAAAUAAGAAACUGUAAGUGUAUAUAAAUCACAUCUAUUUUUUUUUUUUUUUUGAGACAGCAUCUCACUCUAUCACCCAGGUCAGAGUGUAGUGGUGUGAUCUCACCUCACUGUAACCUUUGAUUCCCAGGCUCAAAUGAAUCACCCACCUCAGCCUCCCAAGUAGCUGGAACCAUAGGUGUCACUUAUAUCUUUAUAUAAUAUUGCUUUCAUCUUUUAGUGUCUAAAAGAAAAAAACAAUUAAUGAUAAUAACAACAAUUGUUUAAGAGAAAGAACAUGUAAAAAGAAGUAAAUUUAUAUACCAAAAUUCAAAAUUUGGAAAAAGAAUGGUUUAAAAUGUAAAAACUUAUAAUAAAUAGACUAAAAAUAAAAAAUGCUGAACCAAAGCAUACUAGAGAGAAUCACUUAACCACAAAAAAGACAGAAAAAUGAAAGAAAGAUAGUUUGCUGAGAAUGAUGGUUUCCAGCUUCAUCCAUGUCCCUACAAAGGACAUGAACUCAUCAUUUUUUAAGGCUGCAUAGUAUUCCACAUGUGCCAGGGCCUGUUGUGGGGUGGGGGGAUGGGGGAUGGAUAGCAUCAGGAGAUAUACCUAAUGUUAAAUGAUGAGUUAAUGGGUGCAGCACAGCAACAUGGCACAUGUAUACAUAUGUAACAGACCUGCACAUUGUGCACAUGUACCCUAAAACUUAAAGUAUAAUAAAAAAAAAUGAAAGAAAGAAUCUCCAAAACAGUUUUAAAAAAUAGUGUAUUAUAGAUUUCAAUGUAGCUAGAGAAGAAGAUCUUGAAUGUUAUCACCACAAAGAAAUGAUAAUGCUGUGGUAAUGGAUAUGUUAAUUACCCUGAUAUGAUCAUUAAACAAUGCAUGUAUCUAUUGAAACGUCACAGUAUACCCCACAAACAUGUACAAUUAUUAUGUGUCAAUUUUAAACAAAAAUAAGAAAAUUCAGAAGGAGGGAUUUUUUUUUUUUAAUUUUGUCCUUUUUUGUUCACACUCCAGGAAGAUCUUUAUGUUUCACCAUUUACUUCUAUUUCAACAGUUGAGUGUGAUAUAAUUAAUUAGAUUAGAAAGUAGAGCAGGAUAUACAUGUCAAGCACAUUGGAAGUAAUUUGCCGUGAUUAUCUCUUUAAUGUUUUCAUGUAAAAUCAAAGCUGACUGUUAUAUUCAAGAUCUAUGUGAAAGAGAUACACCUUCUAGUCUAUAGUUUUGAACUUUUUUAUUUGAUUGUGUUUACUAACAUUAAUUUCAAUAUAUGUGUUACUGCCUCACAUACGUGCUUUUUAUAUCUAGAAAAUAUAAGGGCUCCUGAAAUUUAAAAAUAGUAUGAAAUUAGUAGCCUUAUAGUAAAAAUGUCUAGCUUGACCAACUAUGAGGAUUUAAAAGGUGGCAUGAGGAUAUGUGGUUUUAUUCCAACGUGUUUUAAAAUAUAUGUAGACUGAUAAAAUUUUAAAUAAAUAAAAUGGCUUGUAAUAGCUAUUUUGAACAUCACAUAAACAAAUGUGUAAAUGUCCAGUGGUAAAAUGAUGAAGCUUACCUGCAGUUGGCAGUAGUCAUAAUGCAAAAUAUACAUUAAAGUGUUGAACCAGUAACUCAACUCCAGCAUGGUUUUGCCAUUCAGGCUAAAGGAAACAAAAGAAUUCCUGCCUUGCCCCCCACGCAGUUUUUCUAAAGAAAUGCAAAAAUCAGAUUCUUAUUUGAAAUCUUCUGAUUUCUAUAUGUCUCUCAAAGAACAGUUGAUAUUUAAUGACUAGUGUUUCUAGGUAUGUAAGCUUUAUAUUCUACUAUUUUGUUGCAUUCUCAUACCACUUUAAUAAGUCAGGCAAAGGAAGCAACUGGAGGCUCAAUAAAGGACGGUAGAUCAGCAGUAAUGAUUGAUACCAAAAUUCUGAUAACAAUUCUCCCACUUGAUUCAUGAAUUUAUUAUCACUGAAUAAAGAGUUCUUCUGAUUUUCUCUACUUUGAAAAAUUCAGCAGGGAUUUUUGCUGUUGUUUAUUUCCCUUCUCAACAGGUGUUUCGCCUUCAUGCUCAAUAGCUAUUUCAUUUAAACUGUCAGAAUAUGUUUCACACUUCCCAAAACCUGGCAUCUUACAGCAAAGUGUGUACAACCUUUUAUUAGGAAGUUUGGAGAGCUUGUAAUGGAUAUACAAAUGAUUUUUCCAUAAAAACUUUCUGACUUCAGAAUGAACAGCACUAGAUAAAUCCUUAUAUAGCUUCUUGUUAUAAGAAAAAUCAAAGAUUUGGUUUAAUUAUACAUAGAUUUGAGAUUCAGUUGCAAUGGGGACUGAAAGUAAAGGAUAUUAAGUUUUGCUCUGUAAGCUCUUCCAGGAAUCAAUUGCAUUGGCCUCUUGAAGUGACUCCUAGUCAUCACUUUCAAAGGCAUUUAAUGGUUGUAGUAGAUCUAAAUCAUAGCUUAUAUGUACAUUGAUACUUGCUAGCUGUAUUAAUGCCUGAGUCAGCAGUGGCCACGGCUGAGCAAGAUCAGUUAUUUGGUGGCUUUCACCCAGCUGGAAAAGGGUUGCAGCUUUCACUGUGGCUACGAUAAACCACUCUCUUUUGGCCUGAUACAGGAGAUUUUUGAACUUGAUCCGUUGUGGUGGUUUUUUAUGUCAUUUUAGGUGAACUCCUGAGAAAUUUGGUUUAAAAUAGAAAUUUAAAUCUGGAUUUUAUCAGUACAAAUAAUUGUAGGAUUUUGAUAUUGAAAGUAAUCAAGAGAUAAUAAAGUCCAAUUCCUCAUUUUAAAGAUAGGACAAAUAGGAACGGGCAAGGUGACUUCUCCAGGUCAUAUAGCUUUUUAGUAGCCAGCUGAAACAGGAACAUAGGGAUCCAGUUUAUAAGGCCAAUGUUUGAGCACCUGUACUAUGCUACUAAGUACUAGCAUUUAGUAUUUAGCCAUGCCAAUGUAAAAAGAAA